CUUGGUGAUUUGAGCGACAGUGGUACACCCGGUCACAUCCCGAACCCGGCAGUUAAGGCUGUCAGCGCCGAUGGUACUUGGAGGGCAGCCUCCUGGGAGAGUAGGUCAUCGCCAAGG
rnacentral:rRNA from 1 species